GUCUUGACAUCCUUUGACCACUCUAGAGAUAGAGCUUUCCCUUCGGGGACAAAGUGACAGGUGGUGCAUGGUUGUCGUCAGCUCGUGUCGUGAGAUGUUGGGUUAAGUCCCGCAACGAGCGCAACCCUUAUUGUUAGUUGCCAUCAUUUAGUUGGGCACUCUAGCGAGACUGCCGGUGACAAACCGGAGGAAGGUGGGGAUGACGUCAAAUCAUCAUGCCCCUUAUGACCUGGGCUACAC
rnacentral:rRNA from 1 species